GGAUGUUGGCUUAGAAGCAGCCAUCAUUUAAAGAAAGCGUAAUAGCUCACUGGUCGAGUCGUCCUGCGCGGAAGAUGUAACGGGGCUAAGCACGUAACCGAAGCUUCGGAUGCCAUACUGUUUACAGUAUGUGCAUGGUAGGAGAGCGUUCUGUAGGCCUGCGAAGGUGUGCUGUGAGGCAUGCUGGAGGUAUCAGAAGUGCGAAUGCUGACAUGAGUAGCGAUAAAGGGUGUGAAAAGCACCCUCGCCGAAAGCCCAAGGUUUCCUGCGCAACGUUCAUCGGCGCAGGGUGAGUCGGCCCCUAAGGCGAGGCAGAAAUGCGUAGUCGAUGGGAAACAGGUCAAUAUUCCUGUACCGAUUCUAGAUGCGAUGUGGGGACGGAGAAGGUUAGGUCAGCCAUCUGUUGGAAUAGGUGGUUUAAGCGUGUAGGCGUGCUCUUUAGGCAAAUCCGGAGAGCUUAGCUGAGGCGUGAUGACGAGCUCUCUUUGAGAGCGAAGUAACUGAUACCCUGCUUCCAGGAAAAGCCUCUAAGCUUCAGUCAUAGAGUGACCGUACCGCAAACCGACACAGGUGGGCAGGUAGAAGAUACUAAGGCGCUUGAGAGAACUCAGGAGAAGGAACUCGGCAAAUUGAUACCGUAACUUCGGGAGAAGGUAUGCCCCAAGUAGGUGAACUCGUACAGAGGGAGCCCAAAGGGGUUGCAAAAAAUCGGUGGCUGCGACUGUUUAAUAAAAACACAGCACUCUGCAAACACGAAAGUGGACGUAUAGGGUGUGACGCCUGCCCGGUGCUGGAAGAUUAAAUGAUGGGGUGCAAGCUCUUGAUUGAAGUCCCAGUAAACGGCGGCCGUAACUAUAACGGUCCUAAGGUAGCGAAAUUCCUUGUCGGGUAAGUUCCGACCCGCACGAAUGGCGUAACGAUGGCCACACUGUCUCCUCUCGGGACUCAGCGAAGUUGAAAUGUUUGUGAAGAUGCAAUCUACCCGCGGCUAGACGGAAAGACCCCAUGAACCUUUACUGUAGCUUUACAUUGGACUUUGACAAGAUUUGUGUAGGAUAGGUGGGAGACUAUGAAGCGGUGUCGCUAGAUAUCGUGGAGUCAACCUUGAAAUACCACCCUGAUGUUGUUGAGGUUCUAACCUAGGUCCAUAAUCUGGACUGGGGACCGUGUAUGGUGGGCAGUUUGACUGGGGCGGUCUCCUCCCAAAGAGUAACGGAGGAGUGCGAAGGUAACCUAGGUACGGUCGGAAAUCGUACUGAUAGUGCAAUGGCAUAAGGUUGCUUGACUGCGAGACGGACAGGUCGAGCAGGUGCGAAAGCAGGUCAUAGUGAUCCGGUGGUUCUGUAUGGAAGGGCCAUCGCUCAACGGAUAAAAGGUACUCUGGGGAUAACAGGCUGAUUCCUCCCAAGAGUUCAUAUCGACGGGGGAGUUUGGCACCUCGAUGUCGGCUCAUCACAUCCUGGGGCUGAAGCAGGUCCCAAGG
rnacentral:rRNA from 1 species